CUGACACUGAGGAACGAAAGCAUGGGUAGCGAAGAGGAUUAGAUACCCUCGUAGUCCAUGCCGUAAACGAUGUGUGUUAGACGUUGGAAAUUUAUUUUCAGUGUCGCAGCGAAAGCAAUAAACACACCGCCUGGGGAGUACGACCGCAAGGUUAAAACUCAAAUGAAUUGACGGGGACCCGCACAAGUAGUGGAGCAUGUGGUUUAAUUCGAAGAUACGCGCAGAACCUUACCAACACUUGACAUGUUCGUCGCGACUUUAAGAGAUUAAAGUUUUCGGUUCGGCCGGACGAAACACAGGUGCUGCAUGGCUGUCGUCAGCUCGUGUCGUGAGAUGUUGGGUUAAGUCCCGCAACGAGCGCAACCCUCACUUUUAGUUGCCAUCAUUUAGUUGGGCACUCUGAAAGAACUGCCAGUGAUAAGCUGGAGGAAGGUGGGGAUGACGUCAAGUCCUCAUGGCCCUUACGUGUUGGGCUACACACGUGCUACAAUGGCAUUUACAACAGGAAGCAAAACGGCGACGUUAAGCAAAUCCUAAAAAAAUGCCUCAGUUCGGAUUGUACUCUGCAACUCGAGUACAUGAAGCUGGAAUUACUAGUAAUCGCGGAUCAGCGCGCCGCGGUGAAUACGUUCCCGGGUCUUGUACACACCGCCCGUCACACCAUGGGAGUUGGUUCUACCUUAAGGCAAAGGUUAAAAACUUUGACCACGGUAUAGUCAGCGACUGGGGUGAAGUCGUAACAAGGUAACCGUA
rnacentral:rRNA from 1 species